GCAAGACAGGGAGUUCACUAUUUUUAUAGCUAACCAGACGGCGGAGAAUCAUGCAGACGUGAUCACAUGGAGCGGCGGAAACGGAGUUCCCAUAUACAGAGAUUAUGCGGUCAUGAUGCCAAGCCAGGGAAGCAACAAAAAACAAAACCUCUACAUACAACUGCAUCCUAACCCGGACUGGAGAACCCGUUACAAUGAUGCAAUUCUGAAUGGAAUCGAGCUCUUCAAAGUCAGCAAGUUUGAUAACAGCCUGGCCGGACCAAAUCCAGACCCGCCUCCUAAUUCGGUUCCCCCACCGCCUGCACAGUCUACCUCGCCGAAGGAUUAUGACACACAGCUUGUAGCAAUUGUCUGCGGCAUGGUUGCCUGCAUAGUUGCACUCUCUACUCUAUGUUUAUUCAUUCGCCGGCGAGGAGGGAGACGGCGAGACGCCGACCCAGGAGCAUCGUGGUGGGGUCCAUUUUCUUAUACUAGUGCUCAGUCCACCAGGGCCAGCUAUUGAAGACUUUCUGGACUCUGACAAAGACUCUUGUACACGUUAUCUCAAUUUCAUACAUUAUGAAUUGACUAAUAAGUUUUAAAGCAAGUGGAAUUUAAGGUGAACACGAGAGAAUCUUAAUCUUCUUGACACGUGUGUGACUAGAGUCACCUUUGAAUUUUAUCCUUUUCCGAAAAAUAAAUAAAUAAAUAAAUAAUGAAAAUAAAAAAAUAAAGGAAGAUAAAAAUUAAUAAAUUAUUUUUAUUUAUUAUUUUUAAAUUACUAUUACUUUUUAAAAAAAAAAAACUUAAAAACAUAUAAUUUUUAAUUAAUUUUCAUUUUAUUUUUUUAUAUUUAUUAUAGUAACAUCAAAUAGAAGAAAAUGAUCAAACCUUGUGUAAAAAAAUAUGACUCCAACCAAUGAAUUUGUACAUAUAUGUGCCAAAAUAAUUAAUAAUUUCCAUAUGGAUUUUGUAACUAAUCCACCACUGAUCCCUCUAAACUGGAAGGAGUGGGUUGUUAUUAACUUCUUCCCAAAAUUCUUUUAACCAGCAAUUCAAUAGUAAAUAAUUUAUUUUUAAAGUUUUAACUUAUCACUUUUUUUUAAGAAAUAUCUUGUCUUAAUAGAAAUUUUGAAUUUUCUUUUUAACUUUUAUCUUAAUGGGAAAAUUACUUUUGUUCAUUUCUCUUUUCAAACCUUUAACUUGGUUAAUAUUCAAUUCUAAUUUAUUACAUAAAAUAAAACCAAAUUUAUUUUUAAAAAUUUUGGAGUAAGUACUAUCUUAAAAAUAAAUAAACUAUCCCAAUUUAUGUCAUUUGGAUAAGAAAUUAAUUUACUAUAAAUUCACAAAGUCACCAAGAAAAAAAUUAUAUAUGACUAAAAUAUAUUUUGUUUUUCUCCAACUUUCUCUUUUCCAAAAAAAAAAAUAUUGAUAUUUAAAAAAAAUUCAUAAAUUGUUUCAUGAAAACAAAAUCAAUAGUAUAAAAAUUACUUAAUUUAGAUAAAUAAUUAAUCUAAAAUAAAUUCACUAAAUUCUAAACCAAAUUUGAAAUUCUAUAGUAUGUGUUGUUAUUAUUUGUCUCCUAACUCAUAUAAUCGGUAAAAAAGGAAAAUUAAAUUAAGAAAGAAAUUUAAUGUCUAAUCUUUACCUUGAGGGGCAUGAAUAUGUAGUCUUUGAAUUAGUCCUCAAAUUAAUACUUUAUCAUCAAUUUUUAGUUUGUCUCUUUAAAUUAAUUAUUUAUUAUGUAUUGAAAGCAACCAAUCUCAUACAAAUAUAAAUAAAAUCAAUCGCAUAGAUUAACACAUUGAUUCAUAUAUAGAAAAGCCAUCUAACAAUCUAUUAGGUGUAAAAAAACCAUGGAUGGUCUCUCGACCACUAAAUAAUCCACUAAUUAUGAACAAAAGGACAUACAAUUUUACUUGUUUGGAUGCAUAUCCUCAUUAAGAUCUUAUUUCGUUAGCACUUAUACUCAUUUUUCACGUUCCAAAGGCAAUACUCUUUUGUACUCUUUAAUGGAUUCCUCAAAACCCUUAUUGAAGUUUUGUGAUGAGAUCUCCGACUUAUGUCAAAAGUUACUCUAAAAAAAUGGUCUUGAAAGUUUAAGAGUUGAAGGAUUAAACUUUGAUGAAUGAUUAUGUUCUCUUAAGGUUUAUAAAAUUUCACUUUUAUUUUAAACAAAAUAUUUAUAUUUAUAAGACCUUUUUUAGAAUUAUGGGAGACUUUCCUAAUUUUUAAAUAUUCUAAAAAUCAUUUUUAGAAUCAAAUACCAAUUUAAAGAUACAAUUUUAGAACUUAUCAAAAAUAAUUUUUGGAAUUGAAAACAUUGUAGAAAGCAACGUAAGAAAUAUAAAAUAUCUCCUUCCUAAUUUCUCAUUUUAGUAAUUUUAAAAGUUUUAUUGACCAUGGAUACAUACAUACUUUUAAUUUUACAACUUGAAAUAACUUGAAUCAGAAUUUGAAGAAAUACAAAGUUGUCUUGUGAUAAAAAAGAUUGAAGGAAGUAAAUUGCAUCUAAUUAGUAAGAAAAAAAAAACAAAAUUAUCAACUAAAUAAAAUAUACUAUCAAUUUCCUCUUUGAUAAUUUUGUAACAGAAUACAAAGAUACAAUGAAACCCCUCGUAACUCUCAUAAAACCUCAAGGAUACGAUCUUAAUCCUAGUCUAAACAACUUUAUACGCAAUAAUAUUAAUUUCCUAUGAUCUACACUUACUUAAACAAUAAACUUGUGAAAAGCACGGAAAAAAAAUAUAUCAUUAAUAAACUUAAUGAACAUUUUUACUCCAUUUUUGUCACAAAAAUGACAAAAAUAAGAAUGAUAAAGCAAUCACGAAGAAUUAAAAUACCUAAUGUCCAAAUUCAAUUCAACGGAGAAAACAAAGUUCCAAAAGAUAAUUCAAAUAACAACAAAAUAUUCUCUCUCUAGUUAAUCAAAAAAAUUGUAAAUGUAUGAAGUUCUAAAUCUAUUGACUUAGCUUCCUAAAAUGUAUUCUAUCCUAAGGAAGUUCAAAUUAAACAUUAAAACUUUAUGAUCAAACCGAAUUUCAAAUAAAUUCUUAAAUUUUCAAAGGUCAAUAUUAAACACUUUUUAACACUUCUUGGAAUAUUUUAAUACUCUUGAAUUAGAAUUUUAAAAAACUCAAUGAGGAAGUAAGUAAUCUAAAUAUAAUAGAGCAUGAAAAAUUAUUCAAUAACCUUAAGAAAAGAAAAGAACCAAAAUAGUUUAAUUUCUAGAAUUUAAAAGAUUUUUAAGAUUAAAAAGGAUAAACCAAGGCAAAUCUUCAAUUCUAAAUAAUGAAAUCAUUAACCUGAAAUUUUCAUUCCACCUUACAUUAUUAUUUAAAAAAAUACUUAUUUUUUUUAAAUAAAUACUUAUACAUGAUAUCAUUUGACUUUAUAAUUCCCCAAAACUUUUGAAUUUUUCAUUUUUUUUUAUGGGGCAAUUUUAGAAUAAAAUGAAACAUCCUUGGACUUAAGAUAUCGAAUUUUGAAUUUGUCUAAAGUAGUUUUUUUCACCAUAGGAAUUUUAAAAUAUUUUUAUUUUAUGCACAGAUAUUUCAAACAUAUUCAACACUUUCAAAACCUAUAUAUUAAUAAGAAAAAAAUAAUUUAAUUUGAUUUCCUUUGAAAAACAAGAAGAAACAAAUCUACGUCACUUUAGAAUUUUCAAAAACACUCAAUUCACAUCUUGAAAUAUCUAAGAAAAGAUCUUUACUUAUUAAGACCAUUAUAUAGAUUAAUUAAAAUGCAUGUUUCUAAUCACAACAAGGAAUAAAAUUCAUGUCCAUUUUCCCUAAAUUUCAUAAAGCUUUAAAAUUUUUUAAGAAAAAUGAUAAUUAAAAGAAUAUAUUUAUUUUCUAAUAACAUGAAUCUAAAUCUUAUCAAUUUUAAAAAUGUUUUUCCCCCUCAAAACAAGGGCCUAAAAUUGAGAAGAGAUAGAACCAUGAUCCAACAUACAAAUCAUACUUUAAUGAGUAACUAAUUCCCUAGAUCUCAUACUUUAGAACAUCAAGACUGAUUAACAAUGAAGUCUUAAAUAAAAAUAAAUAAAUAAAUAAAUAAAACUCAAUAACUCCCAAUAUAUAUAGCAUGGCGAAUAAAAUUCAAAUAACAAGUUGUAUAUGCAUGCAUAAGAAAGGAAAAAGAUUAUCAACCAAAUAAAAUAUACUAACAAAUUCUUUAAGAUUAUACUUGGUUUUGAGAAAAUAUUAAAAAAAAAAAAGUUAAAAAUAAUUUUCUUAUAUUUAAUUAUGUUAUGAAAAAUAUAAAAAAAAUAAAUCAAAUAUGAUAAAAAUUAGUUAAAAAUUUAUAUAUUUUUAAAUUAUUUAAUUUUUAUAUUAAAGAAUAAAAUUAAAUAAAAUAAGUUUAAAGUAAUAUAUAAAAAUAAUUUAUUAUUAUUUAUUUAUUUUUUUCAUUUAUUUUAUUUUAUUUUUCUAACAUUUUCCUGGGAAUCAAAUAUACCAAAAAAAAAAAAAAAAAAAAGUUUCCUAGAUUCUCUAUUAAAAAAUGAGAGUGUAAUUUUGUUGUAUUUGGUGGGCAUGCAUGAAAAGAUGAUAAGAUGAUGUAGGGCCCUCCGAGUUUAUGAUCACUGCACCUCCGCCGGGCACUAACCAAUGUGGACUGUUUCCACUCUUAAUUACCCAAAUAAGACGUUUGGAUCUGAUUGGGUGUGUUCAACCACUUUGAGGGGUCUACUUCUACCAGCCACUUGCCGACCCACGGAUUUGAUAAGUUGUGUCUAAGUCUUCCAUUGCCCCUAUUGAUUACUCAUUACCCAUUUGUCAUCGUCUUUAUGUCCCUGUCUACUUGAGAUCUUCUCAGUGCUCACCCAUUAUUUUUACAUAGGAAAUGCUAUUUUAUUUUUCGUGUAUAGAUUAUCAUCUAAAAUUGAGAUGAGAUAGAACUAUCAUCCAACAUACAAACCAUACCCUAUUGAGUAAACAAGGGCCUCUAAAAAAAUGUUUUCUGAUCACUGCAGUACUGCACCUCUACCGCGCACUAGCCAAUGUGGACUGUUUCCACUCUUAAUUACCCAAAUGAGACGUUUGGAUCUGAUUGGGAAAAUUCAACGACUUUGGGAGUUCUACUUCUAGUUCUACCAGCCAGUCGCCGACCCACGGCUUUUAUAAGUCGUGUCUAAGUCUUCCAUUGCCCCAUUGAUUACUCAAUACCCAUUUGUCAUUAUCUCUAUGUCCCUGUCUUCUCGAGUUCUUCUCACCCAUUAUUUUUACGUAGGGAAUGCUAUUUUAUUUUUCGUGUAUAGAUUAUCAUCCGGUGCUAAUAUAAUUUUAUGAAUAUCCAUAAUAGUAGUAUCUGCAUAUAAUAUUGCCCCAUCUCCUUCCCUGCUUCUCCUCUCCAUGAUUUAACUUCCUCUCUUCUUCCCUAAUAUCUCUCCAUCGCAAAAAUUGGGGCCUUCAUCUGCCACCAUGAGGAAUACUGGCCAUAGAUGCCUCUGUUUAAUCAUUCCAUCCAUUCUCACCCCUGUCUAUCUCUUUAUCUUCCUCCACUACCUCACCAUCCCCAUCGCUGGUUACACUUACACCCCUACAGAAAACUUCGCCAUUAAUUGUGGCUCCGCCGAAAAUUGGCAAGCAUUGGCCAGGAACUGGACGGGCGACGUCGAUUCCAAAUUCUCCCCUUCGGAAAAGGGCGAGCUAUCAACAACAUCUCUCGCAGCCGAACAACCUUUUGAAUCGUUUCCCUAUUCCACAGCGCGGCUAUCUCGCAAUGAGUUCACAUACUCAUUUCCCCUCACAGCCGGCCAGAAAUACAUUCGCUUGCACUUUUAUCCAUCUUCAUACGGGGAGUUCGACAGAUCUAAAGCUUUUUUCUCGGUCAAAACCGGUGGUGGCUACACUCUUCUUAGCAACUUCAGUGCUGCCCUUGCUGCUGAAGAUAUUCAAAAGGAAACGAUAGUGAGAGAAUUCUGUAUCAACUUCAACGAAGAAGGUGAGAAGCUGAAUAUUACAUUCACUCCCACUGCGGGCGCAGAUGCAUACGCUUUUAUUAACGGAAUUGAAAUUGUCUCCAUGCCCGACAAUCUCUACUACACUGCACAAGAUGGAGGGUUUCAGUUUAUCGGUCAACAGAAUUCAUUUUUCGUUGAAACAGAUCAUGCUCUGGAAAAUGUAUACCGACUAAACGUAGGUGGGAAAUCUCUUUCGCCCACGGAUGACACCGGCAUGUUCCGUACUUGGGAUGCGGACGAUGAAUACUGUGUGAAACUAGCAUUUGUACCCGCCAACACCAGCAUUAAUCUCAAAUUCACCCAAAUACCAAAUUACACGGCACCUCUUGAUGUCUACCGCACCGCCCGGACCAUGGGAAACAACAAAACUGAGAACAUGGGAUACAAUCUGACUUGGUUUUUGCCUGUGGACUCUGGUUUUAGUUACCUGCUUAGAUUACAUUUUUGCGAGUUCCAACCAGAGAUCCAGGAGCAGCACGACAGGGAGUUCGCGAUUAUCAUAGCCAACCAGACGGCGGAGAAUCAUGCAGACGUGAUCACAUGGAGCACGGGAAAUGGAGUUCCCAUAUACAAAGAUUAUGGGGUAAUGAUGCCAAGCCAGGGAAGUAACAAAAAACAAAACCUCUACAUACAACUGCAUCCUAACCCGGAUUCUGAAACCGUUUACAAUGAUGCAAUCCUCAACGGAAUCGAGCUAUUCAAACUCAGCAAUCCUGAAAAAAGCCUCGCCGGGCCCAAUCCAGAUCCAUCGGAGGCUCCUGCCCCACCACCGCCUGUACAGUCUACCUCGCCCAAGAGAAACAAAACAAAGCUUAUCGCAAUUGCCGGUAGCGUGGUCGCAGGCCUAAUCGCGCUCUCUGUUAUAGUUCUCUUUAUUGUCUGGCGAGGAAGGAGAGUAAGAGACUCCGAACCCAGCGAUGGAGGAUCAUGGUGGGGCCAAUUUUCUUAUACCUCGGUGAAGUCCACGAAGACCAGCCGCUCAUCUCUGCCCUCCGAUCUGUGCCGUCACUUCACUCUGCAAGAAGUCAAGGUGGCCACUAACAACUUCGACCAAGUCUUCAUCAUCGGCGUCGGAGGCUUUGGGAACGUGUACAAAGGGUAUAUCAACGGCGGAACAACACCGGUGGCAAUCAAACGGUUGAAUCCAGAGUCACAGCAGGGGGCCCAGGAAUUCCAGACUGAGAUCGAGAUGCUUUCCCAGCUCCGCCACCUUCAUCUGGUAUCUCUAAUUGGCUACUGCAACGACGAUCGCGAGAUGAUCCUCGUGUACGAUUACAUGGCCCACGGCACUCUCCGCGAUCAUCUCUACAAAACAGAUAAUCCUCCAUUGUCGUGGAAGCAGAGGCUCGAGAUUUGCAUUGGCGCAGCUCGAGGGUUGCACUAUCUUCAUACAGGUGUGAAGCACACGAUCAUUCACCGGGAUGUGAAGACAACCAACAUCCUUUUGGAUGAGAAAUGGGUGGCCAAAGUUUCGGAUUUCGGAUUGUCAAAGAUGGGCCCUACCAGCAUGUCGAACGCCCACGUCAGCACAGUGGUGAAGGGUAGUUUCGGGUAUUUGGACCCAGAGUAUUACCGGCGGCAACAGCUAACGGAGAAAUCCGACGUGUACUCAUUCGGUGUAGUACUGUUUGAAGUACUGUGCGCGAGGCCACCCCUGAAUCAGACGGUGGAGAAAGAGCGGGUCAGUCUAGCACAGUGGGCCCCGGCCUGCUAUCGAGAUGGGAAGCUCGAACAGAUCGUUGAUCCGUUUUUAAAGGGUAAGAUAGCGCCGGACUGUCUGCAGAAGUUUGGGGAGAUCGCAGUGAGUUGUUUGCAGGAUCAGGGGAUCGAACGGCCAUCCAUGAGCGAUGUGGUGUGGGGCCUUCAAUUUGCAAUGCAGCUACAGGAGAGCGCGGAGCAGGAGAUGGAGAAGAGUGGGUCGUGGAGAAAAGUGAAGGACGAAGAAGCCCCACUGAAGGCCUCCAUUACUGAUGAUAGUGACGAUGCGUACGUGUUAACUAGUGAUAGUGGAGGCACGUGGGAUUCGAAGAGUAGUGGGGUAAUGAUACAAUCUAGUGGAGAAGAAAAAAGUUCAACCAGUUGUGAAUCUGAUGCGCUGAUGUCAGGUGCCGUGUUCUCUGAGAUCCUGAACCCAAAGGGGCGAUGAGGUGCAUCCCGUCUCCACAUCUCCACCUCCCUUUAUCAUGAUGCCGCCUCUCCAAUUUUUAAUUAUAAAUAGUGCCUUCAUGAAAUUUAGACUGUACUGGGUUGUUGAAAAUUGUAAUUUUCUUUUUCAAAAAGCGUAUGACCACAUGACUCCAAAAUGUUGACGAAAUUAACAUUGUGAAAAAUAAGUUUAUAAAAAACAAUUUUAUUAUUAAUUUAUCAAAUAAUUUUGAAGUUUUUGAGAAAAUCGAUUUCUCACCCUUUUUCUUUUCUUUUUUUUUUUUUUAAAUAAAAUUUCUCUCUCUCUCUCUCUUUUUUUUUUUUUUUUUUAGUGAAAAUCAUCACUUUGAAGGGACAUUUUUCACUUUUUUCACUUUUUUUUUUUUGAGAAAAUAGUAUAUUCAAGAGAUAAUUUCCCACUUUUUAGAUUUUUUUUUUUAAUUCUGACCUUUUUGAGAUUCUCACUUUCUUGUUUUGGUUUUGGUUUUUUAUUUUUUAAAAUUUUAUUUUAUUUUUUAUGAAAAUUUCUCACCUUUUUUUAUCCAUAAAAUUGUAUAUUUAAAAGACAAUUUCCUAUAUUUUACAAUUAUAUUAUUUUAUUUUUUAACAAAAUCAUCCAUUCAAAAAAAGAUUUCUUAUUUUUUUUAAGACAUAUUUUUCCCUUUAAUUUAUUUGGGAAAUUGUCCCUUUAAGAGACUAUUUUAACUAAAUGAUUUUUUUAAAGAAAAUAAAUUGUCGUUUAAAAAGUCAAUUUUUUUAAAAAAUACUUUUUAAAAUUUGAUAUGAGAAUUUUAUAUUUAUUUCUAUCCAUAGCACAUUGUAAAAUAUAAACGACCUUAGCAUUUAAUUGGAAAUUUCUUUUAUCAUGCUCAUCCCAUUUUUGUUUGGGUUUUGGAACCAUAACUCCAUAAACUAGUUUUGAAGGAAAAGUUGGGUCAUCUUCAAUGACAUCUCACAAGUCUAAGUUAGUUGACUGUAAAAAUGAAGUCAUUUUAGUUUUCCAAUAAGAAUAAUUGGUUCCCGCAAAAAAUGAAGGUAUAUUGGUAGCAAAACUUUUAAUGUGAGAAGAGCUUGAUGAAUUAGUCAUUUCCUCUUAGACAGUUAAAUCUUAAAUAAGAGGCCUAUUAUUUACCCAAGCUUCUAAUUGAGUGAGAGUUUCACUAUACUUGAAGCUUCAACCAAGCUUUUAAUCACCUUUAUACUUGGAUUCCAACUCCAAUGAGCUCUUACACAAUCCCUUCAAGUCUUUACUCACUUGAAACUUUUAACACUCAAAUAACAAGUUUGAAUAUCUCAACCUAGCUCAACAAGGGCUCAAAUACAACUUAAAUGUAAGGAAGAAUCACAAUGGUGCACUAAGGAAUAUGCAAAUGAAGAUUUAAUACACUAAGGAAAGAAUGAGAACUUUUGAUUCAAAAACAAGUAGGUAAACAAGUAAAUGCAGGUGUUUUCUUACUUAUAAAUGAAGUGGAGUUCUCAAUUUAUGGAUUUCUAGCAUCAAGAGCAAAAAAUGCCAAAAAACAGCCUCAACCGGUCAAGUUGGGGGUCGACUAAUUGACUAGUCAUUAUGUAAUAAAUGUAUGAUAGGUGGUCGUUAGGCCUCGACUGGACAUCGAUCGGUCAUCGACUGGGAAGACAUAUCCCUCGACCAAGAAUGCAAGGCUACUGGAAGAGAGAAUAUUUUUUACAUCUCUCGAUCGGACCUCAACUGGGAUAGUGUAACCGGUUGAGUCGGUUGGCCAAUACCUCGACUGGUUCACCAUUUUUGGCUCGAAAACCUAUCUUUUUGUUUUUGUUUUUUUUGUUUAAAUCUUUUCUCUUCUAACAUUUAGGCAAGGUCUUUAGGUAAAUUAAUAUGCUAGAUUUGAAACAAUUUGCUUAAGGUUCAUUUGAUAAAACUUAGGUUUUGAUGGAAAUGUAACUUUAAUGCAUAAACUGAGUUUUUAAAAAUGCAUGAAAAGAUAUGAAAACCCUAAGUGCACCUAUGCAUUCAUCUUACAUAUGUUUCCUAUGAUUAAAGGUUUUCCAAAUGUCUUGAUCUUGCAUCAAUUGGGUCAUUUGAUGAAUUUCCAAACUAAUACCUGAAAUUUUUUAUAAUUCAACCCAAUUAACAACUUAACCAUGAUUUGCUAUCAUCAAAAUAUGAUUAGGAGAACCUUUGGGCUAACAACUUUCAUGAAAAAUAUAAGAACUCAACUUAAUGACCUAUUUUUCAUCGUACACAAGCUCCCUAUGAAUUUGUGUCACAUUCUAACAAGAUGAAUUCUAUCAAACUCUUAAUAUUGUCUCUACAAUUAUUUAGUCUCAUAUUAUCUUAUUAUGUGAUCAACUAACACACAUUCUAGCUCAAAAGAAUUUAUGUCAAAUUCCAAUUAAGGAAUUACUAUAAUAAUAGAUUUUUUUUAUCACAUGUGCUUAGAAUCACUCAAGAGGGCACAUUGUUCCAAACCCGUGAGAUAUUAUGGUGGUUCUAUCAAGAAUACCUUUUACCACUACCCUUCAUUAACAAUGACUCAAUGCAUAAGGAAUAUAUGACCACCCUAUGGUCUCACUCGUGGGUUAAAGUUACUAUAGAGCUUAGUACAAGCUCAAUAUCAUAUUAAUGUUGAGAGACCAUACAUUAUAGCAGUUUGAUGAGAUCAUGACUAUCCAUAAAUCUUGUCAAUGUGUAACCAUAAACACUCAAGGAUGAAAAUAUUGAUUUUAGCAAAUAUAUCGAUAAUUCAAUUUUAUGGAUAUAUUAGGAAAUAUCGAUGAAUAUUUUGACACAACAUAUCAAUUAGGCAAAAAUUGAUCAAAACCCAUGAAAAUGUUAGGAAAAAAAUUCUAAAAAUGAUAUAAUAAUUAAUAAUAGAUAUUUUAAUUUUUUGUUAAUUAAAGAAAACGAUAUUGUAUGAUAUAAUUUAUCAUUAUGAUAAUAAUAUCAUGUGUGUCAAUAAAAAAAAUAUGAAUUUUAUAAGUGUACAUUUAUUAUUAAUUAAGUUACAUAAAAUAUUAUUCAAUAAUAGUAUUGCGACAUUUGAUUAUAAUGUCUAAUUUUAAAAUAUAUUUAAUAUUAAAAUUAUGAUUCAUUUAAUUCGAUUGUAUUUAAUGAUAUAAAAUAAAUGAUGAUAUAUGCACAAUUUUUUAAUAUUUAAUUAAUAUAUUAAUGAUAUAAAAAAUACCUAUGAAGAAAAUUAUCAUGAUAAUUUUUAUAUUUUUGGUAAUCAAUUAAAUGAAAUUUUUUUAUUUAAUUAUAAAAUAAUUAUAAUUAAUUUAUUCAUUAAAAUAUUCUUUAAACAUUUUUUUUUAUAUAUAUAUAUAAACUUGCCCCAAUGGUUGCGAUUCAUUGUGAACCUUUUAUAUGGGGUUCAAACCCUCCAUCUAGAGAAAGCAAUGAGCCAUUAUUGAGCAUUGACCACUUUUGACUAAGCAUUGACCUUAUCCAAAAAUCGCCCGUAUGCCCCCACAUGUUGCUUCAGUCAAUAUUUUGCGCUUUUUUUAAUCCAUAUAAUCAAGAUCAGUCACUCUUCAGUUAAAAGGUAAUACACUACAACUUCAAAUACAGUGCCUAAGUUCAUGAGUCAAAUGUACUAAUUAUCUACUUGAAAGGAACUAUGACUUGAAUAUUUCGUGUAACUAUAAAUGCAUCAAGUCAUAUAUAAAGCAAAAUAUAUCAAGCCAGAAUGCCAAGAAAAUAUAAUGCGUGAACAUGAUAGGAUUGAAAAAUUGGAAUCCUAUUAUAAAUAUUAAUAAAUAUGUUUAUUGUAAUAUUGUCAGCUUUUAAGGGCUUAUUUAAGGGAUUUAUUGUAACAAAUAUGUCCUUAAUAAUAUUAAUGUUAAACUAAUAUUUAUACUAAAAUUUUCAUCUCUUAUUUUAAUGUAAAAGAGAAUUCUAAAGAUAAAUAUAUUUUUUAAUAGGUUUGUACCAAAUACAAAAUUUAAAAAUGUAACUUUAAUGAAUAAAUAAUUUUAAUUAUCUUAUAUUUAAAUUCCUUUUCACUAAUUAUUAAUGAGUCUUUCUUUAUAUCUCUUUACAUUAAUUAAAUAUAAGAAAAAUAUAAAUUUGAAAAUAAAAUUAUAUGUUAAAAAAAAAAUCAUGCAUAUAACAUUGCUUUUAUAUAUAUAUAUAUCUUUGAAUACAUCUAAACUAGUUAGAUUUCUAUAAAAUGUAUUUUCAAGUUUUAUAUAUUAUUAUUGAUGAUAAAUUAUAUUAUGCCUAUAUUCAAAAGACAAAGAACUUGAAUAUGUAAUAUUUCUUGUUUUAUUUUAUUUUAUUUUUACAUUUUUAUGAGUUUUAAUUAAUUUUUAUUUCAUCAAUUUUUUUUAAAUAUUUUUUUUUUGAUAUUUUUGUAAAACCCAACUAUAGAAAUGCAUAUUUUUAUCCUUGGUUGUAUUUGAGCUAAGGGGGAGAAUUUUGGAACUGCUAAGGAGGGAAGGAUGCACAAUAGGAUUGAAAAAGAAUAUAGGUUAAAGGUGGAACCAAUGGUUCUCUCAUCGGAUUGUGAUACAUGGAGCAUGUCCUUCACUAUAUGGAAUAAGUGUAGUUUUUCCCAUGUACUUAUUAGAUCUUGGAGGGUGAAACAAUAAAUAAAGUAGUUAAACUAUUUGAAUCUUCGGGGCAUGAAGGGGAUUGUAGCGUAUGAGAGGACCAAUAAAAGUAUAUGGUAAAACACGGGAUGUUUCAAGGCUCAAAUUUUUGUGCUUUUUGUAAUAUGGUGAAAUGAUUUCUCUAAUUCAUAGAUAUAAAUAUAGUAAUUGGCCUAAGCAUAUUAAAUAUUCAUGUAACAUUUCAUCAUAUUAAAUACAGUAAUAGAUCAAAUUUUUAGGCUGUGUUUGGUUCCUUGAAAAUUUGAAGGAAAAUGUAUUAGAAAAAAUAGAGAGAAAAUUAAAACGAAAGAAAAAGUACAAAAAAUAAAAAAUACAUUUAAAAUCAAUAAAUUAGUUUUAUAUAUUACUUCAAAUCCAUUUAACAUAUUUAACUCUUCUAUAUAAAAAUUAAAUAAUUUAAAAUAUAUAAAUUCCUUGUUAAUUUUAAUUAUUUUUUACUUUCUCUCAUAUUAUUCAUAGUAAAAUCAAAUAGGAAAAAAAAUGUAUAUUUUCUUAACAUUUUUUCCUUUCUUAUUACUUUCUUGGAACCAAAGAUAACCUUACUUUCCACCUUUUUUCCAAGAAUGGAUUAAGAAAAAAAAAUUAAACAACAAAAAAGUGAAUGCUUUAUUAAGAACCAAAGUGCUACCAUCCCUUCAACCCAUUCAAUCUUUGGUUGAGAAGGUAAGGUUUGCAUACUUAUUUUUAUGUUAAACAUUUGAGAGUAAGGGUUAUGUUUAGUUUUUAGAAAAGUUAAAGGAAAAGAAAAUAGAGUGAAAAAAUGCAAGGAAAGAAAAAAUGAAUGAAAAUAAAAAAAAUAGAUUAAAAAUCAAUAAGUUAAUUUUAUAUAUUUUUUCAAACUAAUUUAAGUUAUUUUUGUUCAUAGUAUAAAAAUUGAAUAAUUUUAAAACAUAUAAAUUUUAAACUAAUUUUAAUUAUAUUUAAUAUUCUUUUUCUUUUCUUUUCUUUUUUAUAAUAAACUAAACAUAAGAAAUUUAUUUUUUUAAAUAAUUUUUUUAUUUCCUUAACGCUUUCAGAAACCAAAUAUAACCUAAAGAUUAAGUACCUAAAGCCUUUUUUUUUUUCCUGAUAAAUAAUAGCCUAGCCUUCCAAGUAGGUACUUAUUGUUAAUUGCUAACUAAACCUUUCUAACUAUGACAUUUAAAUACGUAACAGUAUGGUUUGUAGGGUACGUAUGUUAGGAGGUUCGUGGAAGCUAAGGGAUGGUCGGAAUAAAUGUGCAAACGACUUGGACUUUUAUUAGUCGUCUACUCUUUUUCUACCCACUAUUCGUUUGUCUUCAUUCAAUGUCUCUACCAAUAAGAAAAUAGUGCCACUAGGACCAAGAAAAAAAAACUUAUUAUUUGUUUUAUUAUAAAUUUUUAAUAUUUUUUAUUUUUUAUUAUAUUUUUAUGAGUUUUAAUUAAGUAAUUAUGUUUUUGGACAUUUCCAAUUUUUUUUUUUUUUUUAAAUUCAAUCAUUGACAUUUCUAUGUUAAUUUUGCCUUGUUAUGAGAAAUAGAUGGUGGAAUUUAUUUGAAAAUAUAAUUAGUUUUAUGAAACAAUUGAUUUAAAAGAUAUUUUUAAAAUGAGAGGUUUAGGAUGUAUUUGACAACGCUUUUAAAAAUAAUUACAUCUCUUUGCCACUGCACGGCUCUCACACUCUGAAUUCACAUACAGAUUUCCUGUCUUAGCCGGUACGAAAUUCAAAUGUUUUUUCCUCUAAAAACAAGGGCCUAAAAUUGAGAUGAGAUAGAACUAUCAUCCAACAUACAAACCAUACCCUAUUGAGUAAACAAGGGCCUCUAAAAAAAUGUUUUCUGAUCACUGCAGUACUGCACCUCUACCGCGCACUAGCCAAUGUGGACUGUUUCCACUCUUAAUUACCCAAAUGAGACGUUUGGAUCUGAUUGGGAAAAUUCAACGACUUUGGGAGUUCUACUUCUAGUUCUACCAGCCAGUCGCCGACCCACGGCUUUUAUAAGUCGUGUCUAAGUCUUCCAUUGCCCCAUUGAUUACUCAAUACCCAUUUGUCAUUAUCUCUAUGUCCCUGUCUUCUCGAGUUCUUCUCACCCAUUAUUUUUACGUAGGGAAUGCUAUUUUAUUUUUCGUGUAUAGAUUAUCAUCCGGUGCUAAUAUAAUUUUAUGAAUAUCCAUAAUAGUAGUAUCUGCAUAUAAUAUUGGCCAUCUCCUUCCCUGCUUCAUCUUCCACCAUGACGAAUACUGGCGACAGAUGCCUCUGUUUAAUCAGUCCAUCCACUCUCACCCUUCUCUAUCUCUUUAUCUUCCUCCACUACCUCACCAUCCCCAUCGCCGGUUACACCCCUACAGAAAACUUCGCCAUCAAUUGUGGCUCCUCCGAAAAUUGGCAAGACUUGGGCAGGAACUGGACGGGGGACGUCGGUUCCAAAUUCUCCCCCUUGGAAAAGGGCAAGCUAUCAACAACAUCUCAAGCAGAUAAACCAUCCUCUUCAUCGGUUCUCUAUUCCACAGCGCGGCUUUCUCGCUAUGAGUUCACAUACUCAUUUCCCCUCACAGCCGGCCAGAAAUUCAUUCGCUUGCACUUUUAUCCAUCUUCAUACGGGGAGUUCGACGGAUCUAAAGCUUUUUUCUCCGUCAAAACCGGUGGUGGCUACACUCUUCUUAGCAACUUCAGUGCUGCCCUUGCUGCUGAAGAUCUUCAAAAGGAAACGAUAGUGAGAGAAUUCUGUAUCUACUUCAAUGAAGAAGGUGGGAAGCUGAAUAUAACAUUCACUCCCACUGCGGCUGCAGAUGCAUACGCUUUUAUUAACGGAAUUGAAAUAGUCUCCAUGCCCAACGAUCUCUACUACAGUUCUCCACAAGAUGUAGGGUUUCAGUUAAUCGGUCAACAGAAUUCAUUUCGCAUUGAAACAGAUUAUGCUCUGGAAAUGGUAUACCGACUAAACGUAGGCAUGCAAUAUGUUUCGGCCAAGGAUGACACCGGCAUGUUCCGUACUUGGGAUAUGGACGAUGACUACUGUAUGAAACUAGCAUUUGUACCCGCCAACACCAGCAUUAAUCUCAAAUUCACCAAAAUACCAAAUUACACGGCACCUCAUGAUGUCUACCGCACCGCCCGGACCAUGGGAAACAACAAAACUGAGAACAUGGGAUACAAUCUUACUUGGGUUUUGCCUGUGGACUCUGGUUUUUAUUACCUGAUUAGAUUACAUUUUUGCGAGUUCCAACCAGAGAUCCAGCAGCAGCACGACAGGGAGUUCACGAUUUUCAUAGCUAACCAGACGGCGGAGAAUCAUGCAGACGUGAUCACAUGGAGCGGCGGAAACGGAGUUCCCAUAUACAGAGAUUAUGGGGUAAUGAUGCCAAGCCAGGGAAGUAACAAAAAACAAAACCUCUACAUACAACUGCAUCCUAACCCGGAUUAUGAAACCGUUUACAAUGAUGCAAUCCUCAACGGAAUCGAGCUAUUCAAACUCAGCAAUCCUGAAAAAAGCCUCGCCGGGCCCAAUCCAGACCCAUCGGAGGCUCCUGCCCCACCACCACCUGUACAGUCUACCUCGCCCAAGAGUAACAAAACAAAGCUUAUCGCAAUUGCCGGUAGCGUGGUCGCAGGCCUAAUCGCGCUCUCUGUUAUAGCUCUCUUUAUUGUCUGGCGAGGAAGGAGAGUGAGAGAUUCAGAACCCAGCGAUGGAGGAUCAUGGUGGGGCCAAUUUUCUUAUACCUCGGUGAAGUCCACGAAGACCAGCCGCUCAUCUCUGCCCUCCGAUCUGUGCCGUCUCUUCACUCUGCAAGAAAUCAAGGUGGCCACUAACAACUUCGACAACGUCUUCAUCAUCGGCGUCGGAGGCUUUGGGAACGUGUACAAAGGG
rnacentral:lncRNA from 1 species